UACUGUUUCCUGCAACUGAUAUUGCACUAGCAUUUGCAAAAACUCCUUUGGUGGGAACAUCACCAUCAAAAUUAUUGAAAGAUAAAUUGACAUAUUCCAAUGCAAAUUUCUCUAAGUAUUCGGGAAUCUCACCAGAAAAAUUAUUAUGAGACAAAUCAAAUUCUCUUAGACCUCUUAAAGCAGCCAAAGAUGGAGGCAAGUUACCUUGAAAGUUGUUAUUGUCCAUGUAAAGCAACUCAAGGCUAUUGCAUCGACUAAGGUCAUUUGGAAGUUUGCCAGACAACAUGUUUCGAGAAACAUAGAAUUCAUUCAAAUUGAAUAAAUUUCCAAUUUCUAAGGGGAGAGAUCCAUUUAAAUGGUUUUGAUGUAAUUGUAC
rnacentral:misc_RNA from 1 species